rnacentral:rRNA from 1 species
AACGAACGCUGGCGGCAGGCUUAACACAUGCAAGUCGAACGGAUCCUUCGGGAUUAGUGGCAGACGGGUGAGUAACGCGUGGGAACGUACUCUUUGCUACGGAAUAACUCAGGGAAACUUGAGCUAAUACCGUAUGUGCCCUACGGGGGAAAGAUUUAUCGGCAAAGGAUCGGCCCGCGUUGGAUUAGCUAGUUGGUGGGGUAAUGGCCUACCAAGGCGACGAUCCAUAGCUGGUCUGAGAGGAUGAUCAGCCACACUGGGACUGAGACACGGCCCAGACUCCUACGGGAGGCAGCAGUGGGGAAUAUUGGACAAUGGGCGCAAGCCUGAUCCAGCCAUGCCGCGUGAGUGAUGAAGGUCUUAGGAUUGUAAAGCUCUUUCACCGGUGAAGAUAAUGACGGUAGCCGGAGAAGAAGCCCCGGCUAACUUCGUG